AGAUCUUAACAAAAACUGUUUUGAUAUUGUGCUUAAAUUGCCCAAGAAGUUUAAAAUAAUGCUAAAAAAUGGUGAUCAUUUUAUUAUGUCAACACAUUAGAUAUUGACUUUAUAUACUAUACUGGUAUAUCUGUUUGUUAAAAAGACCUUCUAAAAUUACAUAGAGAUGUAUAGGCAAAUUCUGGUAAUUAGAUUGUCAGUUUUGGUAAGCUCUUAAUCUGGUUUUGUGUAUGUCUUACUGGUUACAAAUGUACGAGUACAGCAGUGAUACCCCUUCAAUCAUACUGCCAGGUUCUCUUAGGGGGUCUCCAAGAGGCAGUAAAAUGGCCCACAAAUUUCUCUAAGGUAAAUAGAAUGACACUAAAUUUGGCCUUUUGUUGCUCAAAUCUGCCCCAGGUAUUAGAAAAAAGUUACAGAAGACAAAGAUUUUAAAGAAAAGCUGAGAGAUUGCUCAGAGGGUUUUUAAGAAGUUGGUAAAUGUUUUGACAUUAGACUUUGGAAAGAAAGAAAGAAAGAAAGAAAGAAAGAAAGAAAGAAAGAAAGAAAGAAAGAAAGAGAGAGAAAGUUGGGGCAGUGCCCAGAGGAAAAAGGAAAGUCAGAAAAUAGGGGCUAAGGGUAGAGAAAGAUCAGUGAUGUUACUGCAAAGAAAAAGGACACUGGAAGAAAGGCUGUUUUAUCAACAAGCCAUUUAGACUGCUUGUAGAUGAACUUAAAGACAUAAGCCGGGGAGUGCUGACCCAAAAACUUGGGCCAUGGCACAGACCCGUUGCCUAUUUGUCAAAUAUUGGACCCUGUAGCUGCUGGAUGGACAAAAUGCCUGAGGACAAUAGCACCUGUGGCACAGCUGGUAAGGAAAGCAGACAAGCCAUCACUGGGGCAAGUCCAAUGCCCACCUAACCUGCUACCAAGUUCUGUUCCUAGACCAGCCAUGAGUGAAAUUCAGUGCUGCUACCGGCCUGAACCCUGCCACCCUGAUGUUGGAGACGGAUCCUGAGGCUCCCUACAAAUGCAUGACUGCCAAGAGGUAUGCCUUUGCUACAUGGCGUGUGCAUGGAGCAUGUGGGGAGAGAAGAUUCCUGACUCCCACCGGGAAGAUGAUCCAGCAAAAGAACCUACUGGAGGCCGCAUGGACCCUGCAAGAAGCAGCCGUGACCCAUUGUUCCGGACAUCAGAAAAGAAACUAGAGGGCAGAUGAAGCCACUUGUGCAGCUACACAACAAGCAGAGCCAGCCUUGACAUUGAUUCUACUAGGCUCCCUGCUUCCAAAGGACCCUGGAUACACCUAUAUUGCAGGACAAUUAGAAUGCUGUGCUACAAGCCUUUGGGAAGGACCCUGUCACCUGCUGCCUGCUCCACAAGGCACACCCAGUGAGAAAGACCUUAUAUUGUGAUCCUGAGUACACCAACUGCUGCAAAGGUUGCCAGAAAGUGCCACUAGAUUCAUCACACUCCUUUGAAGAGGACAGUUGCUGAUCCCACUGACCCAAAAGAAAAAAAAAAGAUGAAGAUGAAUCAAAGAUUUGAUUCUCGGCUAAGACAAGUGGGGAAUGUAAAAGGCAGUAGCCUUGAAAUUCCCUUUUUAUGCAGUUGUUUGUUAAGUGCUUUUAGUAUGAGUUGCUUGUAGUAUGGGGUGGAAAAUUCCUUGCCCCUUCCCCCUUGAAUAAGCAGGACCUAAUCAGUGAAGGCCACCCAUUGUUCGAAGGACCCUGCCUGGGGACAAGCCUUAUCAGGACCUCAUCAGUGAAGGCCACCCAUUGUUCGAAGGACCCUACAUGGGGACAAGCCUUAUCAGGACCUUUGAACAGACUUUGUGGUGUGCUGCCUACCGGAUGGGUGGUCAUAGCCGAUGGCAGGAGGAUGUGGCGACCCUGCCUGGUUGAAUUCUAUUGGUUGUGUGAUCUUACUAUAUUUGAAAAUAGCCCGCGCUUUGCUUUGUAUGGGCCCCGCUUUUUGCUAAGUUUGAAAUGAUUGGAUCUUGUGUUUGCUAUAGCCUGUUAUUGGAUGUAGGUUGAUAAGGUGAUGUGCUCCCCCUCCCUGAGUGUAGUCUGAAUUCCUAUAAAUUGUAUGGUUUGAGCCCUGUUCGGGGUCGAGUUUGGUAGACUAACACCAGUCACCAUCUCGGCCCGGAUUGCAAUUCGUCAAUAAACAUCUUUGCUUCCUUACA